UACAGAGGGUGCUAGCGUUGUUCGGAAUCAUUGGGCGUAAAGAGCGCGUAGGCGGCCAGAUAAGUCCGGUGUGAAAGUCAAAGGCUCAACCUUUGAAUGCCGCUGGAAACUGUCUGGCUAGAGUCCGGGAGGGGCGAGUGGAAUUCCUGGUGUAGCGGUGAAAUGCGCAGAUAUCAGGAAGAACACCCGUGGCGAAGGCGGCUCUCUGGGACGGUACUGACGCUGAGACGCGAAAGCGUGGGGAGCGAACAGG
rnacentral:rRNA from 1 species